GAUGAAGAACGCAGCGAAAUGCGAUAAGUAAUGUGAAUUGCAGAAUUCAGUGAAUCAUCGAAUCUUUGAACGCACAUUGCGCCCCUUGGUAUUCCGGGGGGCAUGCCUGUUCGAGCGUCAUUAUCACCCCUCAAGCUCAGCUUGGUGUUGGGGCCUGCCGUCAAGGCAGCCCUUAAAAUCAGUGGCGGCGCCAUCUGGCUCUAAGCGUAGUAAUACUUCUCGCUACAGGGUCCCGGUGAUGUCUUGCCAGAACCCCUCAUUUUUUAUGAUUGACCUCGGAUCAGGUAGGGAUACCCGCUGAACUUAAGCAUAUCAAUAAGCGGAGGA
rnacentral:misc_RNA from 1 species